rnacentral:tRNA from 1 species
UAUGUUUUAAUGUAAUUAUGCAUAUAAAAUUUUGAAUUUUAAAGGAGUAGUUUAGUCUAUUAAAUAUAG